CUAAUUGUGACCAACAGAAUCUGGUGUGUAGUAAAAAGAGUGGAUAGGCUCUGCCUCAUGAUGUACAGUCCCUUUCCACAACAUUGGAAAUGAAGCCAGGCCUUGAGUCUGUGCCCACAUAUUCCUACAGCAUCUCAGAGUCCUGUGGACAAUGACUGAGGAGAUAAACCAUGCAGUGAGACAUCU